ACGGAAAUGCUCAUUCCCACCGUUAUGAUCAUUUUACUAUUAAACUCAACUACUGUGGCUUCUAGUGACCAACCAACUCCUAAUAAUAAGUCAUAGGUAGUAGUGGACGAUUCAAAACAACUCUAUCUCACAUCUGUUUGCUUUGCCUGUCUGAUUUUUAUAGGAAAACUCUGCAUGUCCCACUUCCAUGGUGAUUGGAGUAGAUUGAUCUGGAAGAGAUCCUGACUACUUAAGGACCUGUUUGAGUCCAAUCACGAACUGUUUAUGAUGAAUAUAUACAGCUUUGUUACUCAGUUCAGCUCACAUCAAAACAAGCUUUCUAUUCCUUUCAUUAUUCCUACAUUCCUUGACUGUUGCUCGUUUGCUGAUUUUAUACAGAGAAAUUUAAAUCAAUACAGAAGUUAUUAUGUUCAAACCAGAGAUGUUUCUGAUUCAAGUGCAAGCGUGCAUUUGCGUGCGUUUGACAGAAUUCAUGCUGCCUAGUAGAAAAUUUCCAAGAAGGCUGCAUGCAUGUAACAUCCAGUUUCUCUGACUACCUCAAUCAAGAAAUAGUUCAGAAUUCUCAGAUGUACUGAAGAACAUGAAAGAAUUCAGCACAACUAGUGAAGCUACAGCUAGCGAGCAAGAUAUGGUCACACAGAAAGACUUGGAGCAUCUACUGCGUCUCCUAGAUGGUAAAGUUGGAGAAUCGACAUGGCAAAAUUUGAUGGAACGCUCCACCCCUAACAUGUUAUACGAAGCUUGGCGUCAUGAACCUGAGGUGGGUCCCACAAUAUACUGCAGCAGAACCAUUUUCGAGGAUGCAACUCCAGAGUUGGUUAGAGAUUUCUUCUAGGAUGAUGAUUUUCAAGCCAACAUGCUUGCGUACUUUAAACUUUUGGAGGAAUGCCCUCUUAUAGGGAUGACAAUUGUUCACUGGAUAAAGAAGUUCCCUUUUUUCUGCAGUGAUCGAGAAUAUAUCAUUGGUCGAUGAAUAUGGGAAUCUGGGAAGACAUUUUACUGUGUGACAAAAGUAUGGGUUGAGACAUAAUAUUCCUCUAAACAAAUCUUUCUUCAAGUUGUUCAUCACUUGUACUCCAGAUUUAUGGAUUAUGCCCUUUGUAUUGGUUAUUUUAACCCCUUAUAUAAAUACACACCUGGACCAUGUUCUCUUUUCUUGUUGAUGGUACUUUUCUGCUCAUGGAUUGAAAGAAUAUCAAUUUGAUCAGUGACAUGGGAGAUGUGCUUUAUUAGAAAUGAGAAAUGCAUUUAAAGGAAAUGGAAGGGGACAAAGACCCCACAACCUCCUUUUCUAAUUCUAACAAGAAAGGUGGUCAGUCAACUUCUAGAUCAUAAUGAACAAGGUGUAAGGCCUUGGGUACCAGUGGUGUUAGGGAUAUAUGGAGCCUGUCUCAAAUAUCCAAGUACGUAAGUGCCGAUAUCUACAUUAUAAGGGUAUAGUGAUUCUGCCCACUGAGAAUAGUUAAGGGUGGUUUAAUGACUCGGCAAUGGUGGCCGACAGCUACAUUCAAUCUGAUAUGACAUUCUAAGUUCUUCUAGGUCCUUUCUAUAUAAGAAUUACAAAAAAAAA